UUAGGAAUAUUCGUCAAUGGGGGAAACCCUGAACGAGCGACGCCGCUUGAAGGAGGAAGCCCUUCGGGGUGUAAACUUCUGAACAGGGGACGAUAAUGACGGUACCCUGCUAAUAGCACCGGCUAACUCCGUGCCAGCAGCCGCGGUAAUACGGAGGGUGCGAGCGUUACCCGGAUUUACUGGGCGUAAAGGGCGUGUAGGCGGUUAUGUAAGUCCGAUGUGAAAGACCGAAGCUCAACUUCGGGGACGCGUUGGAUACUGCAAGACUAGACGGCUGGAGGGGGUAGCGGAAUUUCCGGAGUAGCGGUGAAAUGCGCAGAUACCGGAAGGAACGCCAAUAGCGAAGGCAGCUACCUGGACAGCACGUGACGCUGAGGCGCGAAAGCGUGGGGAGCAAACC
rnacentral:rRNA from 1 species